AUGGGCACGAAACAUACCACAUUUUACGGAGGAUGUAGCCCCAGAGGGAGGUGGAGGAGAAGCAUAAAUGAAAAGCACCUUUUCCUUCCUCUAGAAGGAAUGCCACAAAGGAGCUUUGAAUAUUGGACUAACCUCAAAUGUCCUUCCACUGUAUAUGCACAGAGAAUUUCUGACCUUGUGACGUUUGGGAGUGAGGAGAUCCCAUAUGGAGGCAUCCAGGUAUUUCCAGAGAUCCUGUGGCAGGUGAGGUCUGCCCCGGCUGGAGCCAACUCGUCUAUAAUAUCUUCCUAACAGCAGCUGAUAAUGUGGCUGGUUGGGAUCAAUUAGCACUGGAUUUUGCCCCAGGAUUGCUCCCCAGGGCGGACGAGUGGAGCCAACUCAUCUCCAGCGACUUUUUCUUCGCUCACGUGCAUAUCCACGCCAGGGCUUCAGAAGCAUUUCAAAAUCCCCAGCCUUGGUUUCACUUGAUUUCGUUGUUGUUAUUGAUAAAUAUUGGGUCAUACACAAGCCACUUGUCAGAGCCUUUGGCUCCAUCUCGAAGCUGCAGCUCCUAGCGGGACGUUUGAGUCUUGUGCUAGGAACUGGAAGGAUUUAUUGGGAAAAGAAUUACACAUUCUCUGCUCCUUCAGUUUUGGAGAUGGUCCCUUAAAUCAUAUCAUAUCGUCUGUCUGCUUGCUGUCACAUUUAUUUCUUGAUUAUUCCGAUAUGUGAACAAUGGGAAGAUGUGUGCAUCUUUUCCCCCAUCUUUUUAAAACAAUUAUUGAAAUGGUUUAAAAAGGGGGGAGGGGAGAAAGUAUUGAUCCCAGUCCUUUCCGUAUAUUUGGAACCAAAAGAGCAUAGGCCAAUAGAUAAUUGUUUUAAUUGUCGGGGUAGGGGGUGGGUUGGUAGGUAGGACCUUUGGGUUUUGUGUAAUUGGAGUAAUAAAUGCAGUUUAUCUUUUAGCUCCGCUGUAUAUAUUCUUUCCCUUGAUACAUAUUGCACAUGAGCUGAACCCAUGGUCUACUUGUCUUAGCAUGUUUGAAGCCCCAGACACCCAACAGUAUCAUUACAGGAAAGAGACAAAGCCCCCAAAGACUCCAGGCAGGGAGGUGACUGCCUUUGGGGCCAAUGGGGAAUUUAUCUUGACGUUGAACUAUUCUAGGAAGUGCACCCACUCGCUCAGACUCCCUUGCUGCGCAGAGUUCAGGUCUUCCCCGUGCUGAAGUGCGGGGAGGAGGUGUGGAAAAAAAACAGCUGAUUUUUGACAUUUCAAAGGGACUCUUUCUAUUUAUCAGUGUUACCGAAGUGUACGUUACUGGAGAAACAACAAAACAAGCAUAGAGCUGCAAUUUUCAAGAAAAUAGGAUCCCCAAAUAUAAAAAUAAAAAAGUAGCAGAUAAGAUGUAUAAUUCAAUCAAAUUACACAAAAUUGCUUGAAAAUCUAGAACAGUAGCGAUCCAUUAUGCCUC
rnacentral:lncRNA from 10 species